UUUCUUACAAACACACAGUUUUUUACUUGCCUUGAUGGACUGGAGUGUGGAUUAACUGUGGAUUAUUGUGAUGUUUUCAUCAGCUGUUUGGACUCUCAUUCUGACGGCACCCAUUCACGGCAGAGGAUCCAUUGGCGAGCAAGUGAUGUAAUGCCAAAUUUCUUAAAAUCUGUUCUGAUGAAGAAACAAACUCAUCUACAUCUUGAAUUGUCUGAGGGUGAAUACAUUUUCAGCAAAUUUGCAUCUUCCGCUGAACUUUUUUUUUUAAUGGUAAUUCAGCACAGAUAUAUCUCUUUCUAUCACAGACUACUAGUUCUGAGUAAACAAAGUCAAAGACAUAAAACCAAAUGUAUUAUUGAUUAAUAUUCUGGUUGGCUAAAAGAAAGAUUUAGUAUAUUACCCACCACAUUUUUGCAUGCACCACAUUUUUCCAUUUGAACAUUUUGCACGAAGGAAACAUGCUGUGGUUUUUCGCACAAGCUGCUUAGCAGUUAAAUUGUUACUGGUUUCACUUUCUUAUAUCCUAGCUGCAUGAAUUAUUUAAUUUAAAUGUGUUAUUUGUGUUUAAUCAUAUAUUUAGUGUAAUAAACUUGUCGACAGCACUGAUCUUUUGUGGCACGGUUACUUCAUUCUCAAUGAUUAAAUAAUUUUUGCAAAAUUAAAGAACAGUGACAGAGUUUCACAUGUUCCAUUAUUCAGUCCUGUAUUUUACACUCCUUUCACAGCGUGUCCAGUGAUUUCUAGAAUGUCCAGUGACAAUCCUUUCAUAUGUCCAGAUUGUCCAAUGACAGAUUUCAGAGAAACCCUAAACAUGAAGAUACGCUCAAAUAGUUCCUGUCAUUCUUGACUUGUCAUAUCAAACAAUAAGAUAAUUUAGCUAAUCUCUCUGUGAAGCAACAACUUGGAUAACUGUAAAACAUUCAUCUUCAAGAAGUAGCCUCAAUAGCGCAAUGACAACGUAAUGCUGCAGAAUGAUUAAUCAUGGCACAAGAUAUUCCAUUCACAUUUUUCAUAUGAAGCAUGAACAAAGACAAUAGUUCCCUUUUUCUGUGGACAUAAAAAGCAAAAAGCCACCCAAAAGCAGCAAACGGUUUGUGGAGACUAACAGCACACAGGAUCCCUCAGCAAACAUGCAUCUGUCCUCGGCAUCUCAUCAAAUGAUCUGUUUGUUUUCUUUGGUUAUAUUUCUGUGUGCUUUUACAUCAGGAGUGAUCUCUCAUGACCCUAAAAAUCCAACCUGCUGCAAAAUGGAGAUGCUUAAGAAUACAGAACCAUUGAACAAAAUAACGAGUUGUUACAUUCUUCCUGCAACACACAAAUGUCCUGCAGCAGUAGUGUUCAUUGAUAAAGGUGAAGGGUUACACUGCAUUGAUCCAAAUGCUCCAUGGCUCAAUAGAAGGAGAAAACGUCUACGAAAGAAUGGUGUAAUAUGUGAGAAUAAGACUAAGUCUUAAGAUACACACUUGGGGACUUAACAUAUGUGAACUUCACCCAGAACUUGGUCUUCACCAGCCGUGCCAGCAAGAAUCCUUUUCCAUCCCUGUUACACAAUCCUGCUCUAUGUCUCUUCUACGCUAAUAUGCUGAAAACAUUGCACAAAGGAAACAAUCUGCUUUCACACUUAGCUCUUACGCAGUCGAAAGUAUGGUUAUCCCUUUGUCUUAUUAUUUAUUUUUCAAAUAUUGAUGUUUUAUUUAUAAGGCUUAAUUUAUAAAUAUUUAAUGUCUUUUUAGAACUGAAUGUAUUACACAUUUGCAGACGUGUAUGUUUUUGUUUAAUAUAUUUAUUUUGUUUCUAAUUUAACAGAGCAUAUAUUUAUUUUCCUAUUAUCACUCAUGUAAUAUUAUUUCUCUUUUUUUCUAAUGACAAACAUCAGUUACCUUUCUAACAGUGCUUAAAAAAGUUUAUCGGAUCCAGUAUGUAUAUAAACAAUGAGAAACUUUAAUAAACACUUUACUAAAUAUCAGUUUUCAACUAUAAAAAGUAUUGUGGAAUUUGAUUUUUUUUUAAUACCAGUUAACAGAAUUUAAGUUAGUUUAAUUCUGAUUGUCUACUGAGACGGUCUUGACCUUUGAUUAAAGGCCUGAGGCAUACAGCAAUGAGGAGAGGUUAGCUACCUCUUACAAAAGGUAGCGUGCGUUUCACAAGUAUUCUGGCACAGAUUUAACCCAGAGGUCGCAGUAGAGAUGAGAUGAACAGAGACUCACACCCUGCUGUCUGAUGAAACAGCAAGUGUCAUCCGUUCCGUUUCUCUGCAACACUCUAAUGAUGGGAACUGUGCAUCACCUUCCUCCAGAUUAAUGACUGUCAGACAUGUCUGAGAACUUACAUUUACGAAAUGUUUAAAAUAAA